rnacentral:lncRNA from 1 species
UUGCAAGAGGCCCAGGACCGACAAAGAGAAGUUGUUCAGAGUUCGCAGAGGAUGCAGGACCACUUGCAGAAGCUUCAGGCUGGAUGUUCUGAGGCAGAAGUUAUGGAACAGGAGCAAGGAGAGAAAACUGCAGCGCUUCAGAAGCUACACACAGGCCUGACUAGAGUCAAAGAGGAACGGAUAAAGAAACUAAACAAAAUCACACACUCUCUGAAGUGUUCUCUGGAUCAAAUGAAGAAUAAAAAUGAAGAAUUAGAGAGGGAGCUCACUGAAAUAAAGAAACACUUAGGAGUAAUGAGAAAGAAAUUGAAUGACCAUGAAAAUGGAGAAUUUAGUUGUCAUGGAAAUUUUAAAACUAAAGAACAAGAAGUGAAUGUUUCAGUGGAUAUGUUUAAAAAUGAGAUCCAUGAAUUGAAAGAAAAAUGGGGAACUAUAUCCUCCAAAUAUCUACCUCUGAAUAUGCAAUUUAAAUACAUUGAGCAGGAGUUGUUAUCCAUAAAAAUAGCACAAAAGCAAUACGAGAAGCUGCGUGAAGAUCAGAGGAGUCUGCGAAGGGAGGCACUAGGCCUGCAGUGCCAGCUGCGAGAGAACAUGGCAAAACUAGAAGACAAAAAGCAUGCACUGGCACAAAGAGACAGUAAUUAUGACUCGGUAAUGAGUCAGAUGGAACUCAGGAUUAAAAACCUUGAGUCGGAGCUCGAGAAACUGGAAGCUGAGAAAGAGUCCAAUGAGAGAAAGGUAGAGAAAUACCAACAGCGCUGUGUCCGAGAGCGGGAGCUCAGCCAAAUGCUAUCACAUAAACUCACCAAAACUAAUAACAAACUAAGCAAAGUCAGAACAGACAUUUUGCUGGUGACAGAACGGAACAGAACUGUACAGAACACUCUUACUACAAGGCCUGUCCCCAAAAGUCCUGGUGUCACGAAGCAUGAUACUUAUAUAAACCGCAACCCUAACUUCAUCGCAAGCAGAAACUCAGAGCCUGCCAUACCCAGCCCUCAGCCUUCUCCUGAGCUUAUGGGGAGGAGUCUAUUCAAG